rnacentral:rRNA from 1 species
UCGACCUCUACCUCCCCGCCGACCCCUUCUUUGCCCCGCCCCGCAUCCCCUCCCCACACGCCUUCCUCCUGCACGACCUCACCGACCGCGUCGCCGUGCUCGAGCUCGCGGCCCGCGCGGCCGCCCCGCAGCCGGCGCGCCGCAAGUACACCUAGGUGGCCACGGAGCCCGGCGGCCGGAAGGUCAAGUGGACGGCGGAGGAGAAGCCGCGCGGCGGGGGCCGGACGCUCAAGUGGGAGGCGGAGCUCGCCUCCCCCAACGACGACGGAGACCGCAAGUGGAGGUGGGAGGCCAAGUCCAAGGGCGGCGCCGGAGGCAAGACCAAGACCAAGUGGGGCACCGAGAUCAAGGGCAAAGGCUCACUCGAGCCAUGGUCGCAUGCCUACACAUGGGAGGAGGACUUCACCGCCUCCGACGACGACGAGGAUGAGCUGGAGGUCGAGGAGCGCAGGCCGGAGAAGCCCAAGAAGAUCAAGGCCGCCGCCAAGGACAAGGAGGAUGUCAAGAAGAAUAAGAAGCCGGCGAGGACGUGCAUCCAGAUCGAGUAGAUCCCCGAGGACAACACCGCCGGCUGCGACGCCAUCCGCAAGGCCUUUGCCAUGGGGAACGGCAAGGGGAAGGCCAAGGAGCUGUCGCCGCAGGAUGCCGUGCUGCUCAUCCAGAUGA